rnacentral:misc_RNA from 1 species
GCAUGCCGCACGUGCCUCCUCAGUCGGUGUCGGUUCGAGCGCGCACCCGCCUUGGCCGGUGUUGGUUUUCUGUGUUGCAUACCCGUCGCGAAGCACUCGGCGUCCCAAAUGUGCCUUUUCCGUCAUGCGCCGCGCCCCUUUGGGGUCGCGGUGCGGGGCGGACCGCGAAGACCCGCCGAGUUCCGCGUAACGCCCGCCGUGAAACAGUGGGCGUGCGUCGGCACCCGGCGAUGUGCCCGAUCUCUCGGAUGCGGAAUAUCGCGUGGGCACGUGGCCCCCGGNCACUAUCUGCCCCUAAACAAGCGUUUCGCGCUUNGUGCNAACGACUGCCGCCCCC